GGCGGAUGUAGCCAAGUGGAUCAAGGCAGUGGAUUUGUGAUCC
rnacentral:tRNA from 1 species